rnacentral:rRNA from 1 species
AAGUCGAACGGGUGCAGAGUAAUCUGCGCUAGUGGCGAACGGUCGCGUAACACGUAAGCAACCUGCCCAGAAGUGGGGGACAACGGUCCGAAAGGAUCGCUAAUACCGCAUGUGGUCAGUGGGAGGCAUCUCCUAUUGUCUAAAGCCUUGUGCGCUUCUGGAUGGGCUUGCGGCCUAUCAGCUAGUUGGUGGGGUAACGGCCUACCAAGGCUUCGACGGGUAGCUGGUCUGAGAGGAUGUCCAGCCGGAUUGGGACUGAGAUACGGCCCAGACUCCUACGGGGGGCAGCAAUUAGGAAUCUUGCGCAAUGGGGGCAACCCUGACGCAGCGACGCCGCGUGCGGGAUGAAGGCAUUCGUGUCGUAAACCGCUUUUGACGGGGAAGAAGAAUGUGACGGUACCCGUCGAAUAAGCCCCGGCUAACUACGUGCCAGCAGCCGCGGUAAUACGUAGGGGGCGAGCGUUGUCCGAAGUUACUGGGCGUAAAGCGCGCGUAGGCGGCUUCUUAAGUCUGGGGUGAAAGGUUCAGCGCUCAACGCGAACAGUGCCUUGGAUACUGGGGAGCUUGAGUUCGGGAGGGGGCAGUGGAAUUCCAGGUGUAGCGGUGAAAUGCGUAGAUAUCUGGAGGAACA